UCCAAAUCACUGAAGUCCUUUGUG
rnacentral:siRNA from 1 species